AGUGCUCAUAACGAGGUGCGGGUGUCACUAUUGGAAGCGGUUGUCGUUGUCGGUCCCUAAAAUUAUGUUACGUACGAGUGUUUUAUUUACUAUUUUGGCGGAGUACUGAGUUUUUUGUGUAUUUGCAUAACCAAUCCGAAAUAUUUGUGUUCGCUUUUUGCUUGAGUGCUUGCAAUUAUUGUGAUGCCAAGUACCGAAACAAGUGCUGAAUAUAAAUAUAAAGUUAUAUAAAAUAUAUGAAAUUAAAACCUUCUAUAUCACCAAAGUGGCGAAUAAAUGAACGAUUUGGAGGUUAGCAAAUAAUUAUUGGACAAACUUUGAUGAAAUUUGAGUAGACAAUUACGGUUGCUGGGAAUGUAAAACAACAACACCCGCAACAACAAAAAUAAAUCAAAGAAAAAAUCAUUGCACUAUGAAAUCAAACGAAUGGGCAAGAAAACAAACAAAUCACAAAAAGGACUGGAAUAACAUUAGUUUAUGUGAAAGCAGUCAUAACAACAACAACAACUAUUUCACACAAGCAGCGAAAAUAUAAGGCACAUCUGCUUUGAACUAUAAUUGAGGAACGCUUCAAGCGAUGUUCGCUAUUAUUUUUGAAAGAGUGAAGGAGUGGCCAAAAAUUGACAGCUGAACAAACAGAAACGAGUAGAAAUUAUUGCUGGUCUGUGACGAUUAAAAAAAUACACACACACACAACUGCUUUGGUUAAUGGAUGCCUAAACUCAAUUAAGUGCCACACUUUUCUAUCUUUUGCGAACAGCCAACUCACACAAGCAAAAUUAAUCAAAAGUGUUUUGCGGCAGGAAAUUAUUAAUAAUGCGCUCGAUGUGGCCGCAGAUUGAAACUUAUUAAUUUGUGUGCGCUUGCAACAGACAACAAAAGCAAAAAGGACAACAACAACAAUAAAACAAAAAGAACGGCAACAACUAUAGAAAGAUCAAACUUUAAAGCUACAACAAAAACCACCAACAAUUAUUAGUUGUACAAAAUCCAUAGUAGGGCAUCGGAUGCAGCGCAUCUGUCAGCAUGUGAAGGCUGCAUUAGUCGCUUACCACACAACCAUAAUCAGCUGCCUGCCACAACGCGACGCAAGACCACAUAAUUCAAAUAAAACACGCAUCCGCCGCACAAAAUUAUCAAUGCGCGGCAGCAAGUGAAGUGACGUAGUGAAAGUGAGUGCGUAUGAGUGCACACAUCUCACGCGUGCAUGAGCAAAUGAAAUUGCAAUAUUUGAAUUUCUGCAAAUUAAACGCAACAGCAUGUUGCAUGCAGCAUGAGUGUGAAGUUGAAGCAGAAAAUAGAUUAAAAGUGUUAAACGCGAAUAAAUGGAAAUGUCUUAACAUUUUCUGCAAAACGGAAAUUCGCUGCUACAUAAGAAAGUACUAAAGGAAUAGAGUUAAGAAGUUGAAGAAAAAUAAGAAAAAGUUUUUUUUUUCCACUACUGAGUGCCGUCAAAGGGCAAGUGUGUGUAUCCGUUGACUGAGCAAAGAAGUAAAAACGAGAAAAAAAUAAUAAAAGUAAUAAGAAGCCAAAUAAGUGCGAAUUUCCACACAACGUAUAAGCGAACAAAAAAAAAAAACAAAAAAAAAAAGUAAAAAUACCAAGCAAAAACUAUUUGUACGGCAACACGUACGCCGCGACGCAAGCAACUUGUGCUUGAUUUUCGAGGCUGUGUCUGUGUCUGGGCCGCCAGCCGAUCUGUCAUAAAAUAUCAAUUUGUGAUUUUUCAAUUUUGCCGCCGACAGAUAAACACAAACGUGCCGCAAGCGCUCAUCUUAUCUCACCGCUCCCCCUCCACCGCUCUCAUAACCGCUCGAUCAUUUAUUAGCCGCAUUAGACGUGCCGUACAUUCUAACUAAGUAAUAGUAGUAGUGCGUGCGUGUGUGUGCGUGCAUGUGUGUGAGUGCAAAAAGAAAACUAAUAAUUUGUGAGGUAAACGCGUGUGGCAAGCGUCAAAAUAAGCAAAUAACGUAAAGCAAUAACAACAAAAAAUAAUACAUAAAAUAAACAAACUUGAAUUGUGCUUGUUCGCGGUGCGUAUUUAACCGCUGCGGUCUGUGGUAACGUCGUGGCAAAACGUGCUCGCAUUAGCUUAAGCCACAAUUGGCAAUAGUCAUUCACAUACGCGCACAUAUGUAUGUGUGUAGGUUGCAUUGUUACUAACAUACGUUGACACGCCGCUUAAUCCAUUCAAGUCAUUUCGCGCGCCAAGACAUCCAGACAACUUGUCUUUCGCUGGCCGCAUCUUUCGUGUGACCGAAUGUUUGCUUGUAAUUUGCGGUCAAUGAAAUUGCCUCUUAGCUGCUUUGGCUUCAUGUCGCCCUUAGUGCCAUCGCUGCCGCUGAAUUGCUGCAAGUGUGGCGCGCAAGAAAUCAAGAUGUCAACGUUGGCGCAGCAGCGACACUCGAGCAUUAGUUGCUCAUCGGGUAAUCAGCCUCAAGUGCGUUGUGGUGGCAGUAAAAAAUGCCGCAGCGGGAUUAGCAAUUUUACUCAGUGCUUAAUUACUUGCGCAUUGCUGUUGCUCUUGGCUGCCGGAAAUGGUAAGUGGCAUUGCAUUUUUGUUUUAUCGAUUUGUAUUUGAAGGUUUACACGCACAUUUUUAUCGAUUUAUAGCAGCUUUGCUGACUAACAACUGCUAGUCUUAUUAAAAGACAAAUGUAACUCAAAACUGGCGAACAGUUCCAGAGUGAUUCAUUGAUGAAGUGGUUGAGAGGUUAAAGGUUAACGCCAGUCUAAGAUUUUGGUAAAAAUUAUUUUUUUUGGUUUCAAGCAUUUCCAGA